AAAAUCAAAUAUUUAUCUCAUCUCUACUGUGAUGAUUAUUAUGCAGGAUUAAAAUAUAACAAGAUACAGCUCAGUCUUUGAAAUAUUUGCACUAUAAUAGAGAAGCUUAUUUGAUGAAGAUAGGGAUAACAUAAUGUUAUCACAUGCUCACUAUAUGAGAGGGCUGACCUGGAAGGGUUCCGGACAGCAUGAGGUAGGUGAUUGGAUUGUGGAUUGUUUAGGAAAGCAAGCACCACUUAUGGAAAGAAACAAAAGUAUUCCGAACAGAAGAUGACUAAAAACUCUCUUCCGAUGCUAUCUGGGACCUGCCUAACCUGUCCUAUAUGAUACUCUAAGUGACAGCAAUGUGUGCUUUAGAAAGUGCAGGUGAAGAUGCAGUUGCACUUCAGUAAUCACCUCCUGUCUACAAACAAACCGCACGAGGGUUGCGGGAGCCAAUGCAAAUUUCCCAUUUGUAUGAUUACAGCUGCUGCAGGAGGGGUACAACUCAGGAAACUCGUUGGUGGAUCUUGAUACCUGGCUGAAGUGGAAUUUUUGACACCAUUUUUGAAAGGAUCAGGUGCCUAUUCUGCUGAACAGUGGGUUUCAGAUUUUGAACCAGCAGCAGGACUCCUUAAGACCCAGGCUGAUGUUCUGAGAGCAUGUGCCCCGUCAACUGAUACGGAAGCUCCUAUGAUUGCAAGACCCUGUGUGAGGCUGCUUGUAGAGCCCCAAGAUAAAUAUGGUUCCAUGACUGCUCCUCUGAUGCCUAUUUCCAGUCCCAUAUGGGUCACUAAAUGGUAUGAUCUGGGUCUGAACCAAACAGAACCAGACAAUGACAUGACUACAGUUAAUAUUCCAUAUUUAUGCCAAAAUAUUCUAAUGUGUUAGGCCAGAAAAAAAAAAAAAAGAAAAAUCAAGCCUUAUUUAACACUGUGAUGAGAAUCCAUAUGGUGUGUAAAACAGAUAAGAAUUGGUUUGAAUCACGAGUUACCAGCUACCACCUACAUAAUACUGAGUAGUACACACCUCAUUUCCUCAUCAAUGAAAUGGGCAUAAUAGAAUAAGUGACUCAUUAACAGUUGUGAGAAUGGAAUGAGGUGCUCUAAAGGGUUUUGCACAUUACUUACCGUACAGGAGGAAGGAACUAUGCAUGAGAACCAUCGUUAUUUUGGAAGGACACAUACCUAGUAGGAAAAAGUAGGCAUGGAAUCAGCCACUUGGGUUCAAAUCCAGGCACUAUCAUGGUAGUAAAACAUUUGAGUCUGUUUUUGCCGAGGAGAAAUGAAAGUAGCCAAACUUAUUCUGUGGGUUGUACAAUUAUUGAAUUACAUGAGAAGGUAACUGGCUCUUGGUAGGUACGUAAGACAGAGGAAACUAGUAUUUAUUUCAAUGUUUCCUUCAUUUAUUUUGCAUAACUUGGUGGAUCAGUGUGAUGAAGAGAGUCACUACUGUCAGAGGCUACCUUCCUCACCUUUAACAUAGGGAAUGUGAGAUUUGAUGACUUCUAAAGUAGUUUACAGCCUCUAAAUCUUUACAGACACAUUUAAGGAUUUUUAAGGAAUUAGAUGAAUUAAAGAAUCCUAGCAUAACUAAAAAAUACCUUCUGCCUGGCAGUUUUCUGGACAUUCUGCCUUACCUAAAGUGGUAAAUUAAAGAGUGACUUUGAUGGAGAAAUGUAUUUCUUCUUCAUCCCUGCUUAGUUAAAGCCCCUUAUUUGAUUUGUUUUGAUAUUGUUGCCUUUUAUUAUUUUCCAGUUAUUUCUACCCCUCCUUUCUCCAAAAUGAAAUACUCAAAAGUUAAUUCCGUGUUUGGUGUCACUAGUGAACAAUUUAGUUUGUUAGUUUAGAACUGCAAUAAAGUCUCUGUAAAGAUAAAAAUAAAAUUUGAAAAUCCAUCACGGAAAAUAAUUGAUUUUGUGCUUCAAAACAUGACAGUUCUGCAAAGGAAUAUGAUGAUAAUUUACUUUCUGUCACUUCCAAAGUUAACUGAAGGGAGAGAAACACACAAAAAACAUUUUUCUGACAGGCAAACAGGCAAAUUUUGGACAAAACUGCAGGGCAGGGUGAUAAAAAGAAAAAAGAAAUCUUAAAAAAGCUGAGCUUCCAAUCACCUCCCACCAGUCUCUGUGAAGGAUGACUUCAGUCCCUUUCUUAACUAAUUCUGUCACUGUAAAAUCCUACAGUCAUUCUUCCACACAUAAAGGACAAAUAAGCUCAAGAGGAGGAUAUAGAUGCUUUCAGUUUUAACUAUUCACCAAUGGUGGAAAAGGCAGAAUGCCUAAGCUAUGUCUUCGUGGCCAAUAGGAUAGCUCUGUAUCUCUCACAUGACUCACUGCUCCUGUCUUUCACAUGGGCUGUAAUUUAGUUCAAUUCAGAACUGCAGAUAGUACAGCUUCCACAGGAGCAAGGGAUGUCUGAGCACAAGUGGCUGAGUUCCGAGUGACUUUAUGAAGCACUUUCUACCUUCCUCUCCGGCAUGAAAACAGGGAUUCUGCACCUGCAUCAUGGACAGUCUGGCAAAAGCCUCUGCUCUGCCUCCGGGGACAAGAAACUAGAGCAAAUAACCGUUUUGAAAUUAGAUCCUGGCAACAUUACCAACAAUCAAUGAUGGAAACCGAAGGCAGAUUGAUUUAAAUCUUCAAUGACAGUUGUACAGAAGUUGAAGAAACAUGUCAUGUUUCCAAAGAAAAGUGAGUAGCUUGGUUGGUGGUACCCUAAAAUUAGGGCAUCAUUAAGGUACGUCAUUUCUUUUAGUUCAAUCGAAGUGCUUUGCUGUUUCAAUUGUGGAGAAUUUCUUCUUCUUUUUUUCAAUCUCUCUCUCUUCCUCUUCUUCCUCUCAUUAGUAGAUGUCUUUUAUAAUUGAUGUCAUUUACUGUCCUUUCAUCAAAUGUAUGCCACAUCACUUAGGCGAACCAGCAGACAGGGCACCAAAAUACACAUUAGAGGAGACUGGCUUCCAUGAGACGCUUCAACUGUCUCAUCGGGGCACUUGUAAUAAGCAUCUUGGUGCCACUGAAUGCAAUGCUGUAUUCAAAUAAUAGCUUUCAUCUUCACUCUUUUUAAAUAUAAAAGUAAACCUUGAAGCCCUUUGAAGGACCUAACCAAACAACAUACCUAUGAAAAUAGAUCAGUAAGGCUUUGAGAAACAUUCUUAAGUAAAAUCUGUAAAGCAUCUUUGCAUUUUUUUUCAAGAAAGACCUCCAGGUAAAUGAUGGCUUUUAAUAAGACAUAUGACAAUCACAAUUACAAGAAUCAUUAAUGUGUGUCCUGUGUGCUAUUUUAUGUUCCCAGCAGGAUAUAUCUUUUCUCAUCUAGGGUUUCCAGGGCUGUCUACUGUUCUCUAUGUGUAAAACGUAUUUAAGUGUUCCCCCAAUGCUGCAAUAAUGUUGAAACAAAACAAAACAAAAACGAAAAAACCUUUGUCAAGUGGUCAGACAGACUGGAACUAGAGGAUUAUAGGUAAGAGAGAUAAAAUGAAGGGUUGAAAGCUAUAAUUUCUAUUUAUGUGGUGGCAACCAAAUCAGCUGUUGGAGUCAGGCAAUUUAAAGAUGUGGCUACUGGAGCUCAGAGUCUGGGAAGAAGACACUUCUGCGUCUGACAGUGAAUCAGGCUCCCAGUUUUGAAGAUGUACUGUAGGUGAUUCCUCGCUGAAUCCAUUUCCCACUUAGUUUCUAUUCUCCGACCCUGUGUCUCCACACUUUCCACUUGAUUUUAUCUCUUUGACAAUUCUAUAUUUUACUUUCCUUCCUCUCAUUCCCCUUUUCCCAGUUUUUUUUUUUUUUUUUUUUUUAACCUGUAGUUUCUUGGCCUCUGACUACUGUUCCACGCUGGAUGUCCCCAGAAAACAGAGUAUGUUUAGAAAGGAGACAGUGCAUCUCAGAAGUCCCCUGUCCACUAGUUCAUGUUUGAAGGUGUUGUGCUCUAUGGGUAUCAGAAACAUUUGUAGAUGAAAUAAUUUGAGGCAUGAAUUUUGAUAGAAGCAGGAUCACCAAUGAAAUGAUAAAUGUAGGUACCUGUUUACCUUGCAUAAUAUUCACUAUGAUCUUGAGAAUUUCAAUGUAUAAUUUGUCUUUACUCUUAUUUUUCAUUAGAAUUAACAGAAUCUCAGAGCUGGUAGAAAGUAUAGAAACUGUAUAUACAACUCUCAUAUUCAGAUGAAGAAAAUGACGCACAGAAAAUCAACUGUCCUAAGCCAUUCAGCUUGUCUAUAAGUGCUGUUGGCUUAAUUAUAGUUUUGCAUAUAUUUAGGCGAAGGAAAUACUUUCUCAGAAACUGGUUAGAACUGUUUGAGAAGAAAUAUAAUCAUCAAAAUAUAUCCACAGUAAAAUGUAACCAUCCAUCAUUCAACAUAGGCAAGAAUAUGUAUUGAAUUGCCUGAGUGUAUUAUUCAUAUAGCAAAACUUACUUGAAUUGCUAAUAAAUCUCCUGAUCUCUGUAUAUGUAUAAAAUAUAUAAACCCAACCAAAUUCUGUACAUAAAUAAAUAUUAUUUUUGGAUACCAGUACAAUCCCUAUUUCACUUUUGUGUAUUCCAGUUAAUUAUUACUCACAGUUCUAUAGUUUUAACCAGAACAAAGGGAUUAUCCAGAAGAAAAGAAGGUAAGCUAUUUCAUCAGUUUUGUUGGAAAUCAGAAGUUUUUUUUUUUUUUCUAUUAUUAGCUUUGCAUUCUUAAACAAGAAAAAAGAAGGAAAAAAACUCUCAUCUUCUCAUUCAUAAGAAUUCCCAUAAAAAUUGUCAGUGGUGAGGUGGGGAGGAAAUGCAUUACCAAUAAACAGCUAUAUCCUACUAUUGGGGACACUCAGUUUUAUUCUACAGAAAAUAUAGUUUGUUCUUGAAGAUGUAAUAGACAUAAUAUUUUUAAAACCAACAUAUUAAAUAUGCCAGUAAAUAUUUUUGUUAAACAAGGCUUUUAAAAUUUAAAUUACACCCCUAAACUGGCUUUCUAGUUUUUCUAGAGAAAUAAAGCAAUUUUAAAGGAAAUAGCCACUCAGAUUAGUAUUUCAAAUAUCAUACAAAGUGUAUGUGGUGAUAUUACUGAAAAUGAGGAUUUUUGAAAACUAAAAAAGCAAAAAGUCAUUGCUCUGAAAGCCUUCAAGACUGCCUUAAGGUUAACAAUGCAAGUCUUAGAUGUAUUUAGGUAAUCAUAAUUUAAUUAGCUUUCUAAUUCUAAACAUAUUUUGACUCAAAUGUUUAAAAUAUGGUCAUCUAUUCAGUUAAAGAUGAACAUUUUGAUGAAAUAGCAAUACUUAAAGGGUUCUCCAUUUCCACAAUUAAGUGCUACCUAUUAUUUAUUCAGAGCAUAUGUUUCAGUCUCAAAACACUGAAGACACAUCUCAGUGAAAUAAAAAUAAUCUUUUUUUUUUUCUUUUUAAGAAAUCAGAAUAUGUGGCAGUCGGCAGGCUUAAUUUGUAUUUUAUGGGCUCCAAAUUCAGAUGAAUAUUAUCAAGAUCUGAAUUGUCUCAAUGGCUGUCAUAAUUCAAAUAAUAAUGUCAAAAAUAUAAACUAGUAUCAUAUAAUUAAUUUGUAUAUAUGGAAAAUUGAAUUCUCUUAGCCAAAGAAAGUAGAGGGAAAUCAUCACAAAGGAGAGUGAACAUGACUAUUUUUUCCUGUUGUUUCUAUAGACUUCUCUGUAACAAUUGAUAUGAAAAUAUCAUCAGAAUUUGUAGGUGUGCAGUAUCUGUGGUAUUAAUAAAGGUAUCUAUAAUCAAAUAUAGCAGAAAUAAUUAGGCUUCACGCCAACUGCCUUUCCUAGAAUCUUCAGGGACAGGAAGUGCAGCUGUGUAUCACCUGCCCAUAUUCUACAAAUAGCACUGAAGGAUAUAACUCAAUGAAACUUGAAACCAGAUUGCACAAAAAUACAUUAUUCCCAAUUUUUUAUUUUUUAUAUUUCUAGAUAAAUUAUAAAUUCACAGCAACAUUUGUCUAUUGUUAUCUUUAUGUUGCAAAUUAUACUAAAUUUUGAGUGACAUCUUUAGACAAGGAAGCCUAGAAACAUCCUUUGGCUAAAAAAUAAAAACAUCAUAAUGUACACUAGAGAAAACAUUUCUAGAAAAUAUACCUUUCAUUGUGCCUUUAAAAAGUAAAAGGCACAAUGGAAGGUAUAUUUUGAUCAACAGCUUAUAUUGUUUAGAAAUUUGACUGUGAUUUAGUAUUUUGUCAACUAAUUUUCAAUCACAAGAAAAUUUAGAAAGUCAUGAAAUAGAAAUAAAAGUCUUAUUAGGAAUAGUAAUUAUAUAGAUAGUGAAAUGACUAAUUUUUAUAAGGAGUAGUAAUUUCAUAAUGUAAUAACUUCCUUUUCAGAAAAAGAAAGUGAUUAACAAAGCUAAACAUUCACACAAGGCAAUGUACCACAUAAUUCAAAAUGCCAGUGCAAAAAUAUUAGUUAAUAAAUAAAGAUUCAAUGCUGGUCUGUAAUAAUUAGUCAUAGUUUCUGCACUUAGAAGGAAAGCUGUCCCUGGGAGUUGAGAAUUAGAGUCGAAACAGAGAUUUUGAGUAUAAGAAAAGUGAAUUUCAUUCAUGUUGCAGGGUUAUACUGCUAUGAUGGAAGGCUUUCAUUUUUCAAGUAGGAAACAUGGAAAUUACAGUAACUAUGGCCAAUUUAUAUUGGCCUAGAGAACACUAUUUUUCUCUGGGCUUGAAUUUCUCAACAGGUGCCACUAUUGAUAUUUUGGACCAGAUAAUUCUUUGUCCUGAGGAAAUUUGCUGUGCAUUUGAGGAUUUUUAUCAGGAUUAUUGACCUCUCCCCACUAGAUGCCAAUAGUACCCCCUCCCACUAUGGUGAUAUCCAUAUAUUCCCAAAUGUUCCCUAGAGAACAAAAUCUGCUUAGACUAUUUGUCUAGGCAAGUUUGCUUUCUUCAUUUAACUUUAUGCAAAAUGAGUUUGAUUGGUUCUUUGAAUUAACAUUAAUAGGAAUGUUGCACAGGGAAAGUUUAUGUAGUAAGUUAAGAAGAGCUCUACAAUGCAAACAUUUCUGCAGGAUAUAAAAAUAAGAAUAUCAAUAGUAUAUUCAUCUCUUGAAAUAUUUGCUAUACAACACAUGUUGAAUGUUGAAAGAUGUUGAAUGUAGGCUCAUAUUUUGUGCAUUAUUUGAAAAUUUGCAAUGUAAAUAAGGUAAAUAGAUGCAAAAUGUUUGCCUUUGGGCAUGAAAAAGUUUUCUUGUGUGUUAUAAAUACGGUAAUAGGUUUUUAGAGGUAACUUUCUUUGGCAGUGAACAAAACAAGACCCUACUAUGAUGAUUCUACCUGGAGCUGAUUUUAACCGAAGAGUAGCCUCCACUGUGCCUUUCCAUAAAUGUUGGUUUUGUCCAUGUAUUAAAGCACGGAUUUCUUGGGAGAUGACAAAUAUUGAGAGUGAAAGAUAAAAUCUGAAAAGAACCUGGGAAAUCAUCAUUAAAUUGAGCUGAUAAUCAUGUUUAAAUAUGGACUGUCAACUUUUUUUUAACUAAUGAUGGGAUGGUAGAGAAGCUAUUAACUUAAUACACCUCUGUGUGUGUGUGUGUGCGCGCGCGUGUUUGUUUUGGUGGAAAUAAAUAAGAAAGGGAAAAAUAACAGUUACAUGGAAUAUAGUUACAUGGAAGCUUAGGAGGCAAGUCAAUAAAAGAGAAAUAUUAGAGUAGUAUGAAACCUUAAGCUUUACACAAU